rnacentral:rRNA from 1 species
UACAGAGGUCCCAAGCGUUGUUCGGAUUUAUUGGGCGUAAAGGGUGCGUAGGCGGUUGCCUAAGUCAGAUGUGAAAUCCCGGGGCUCAACCUCGGAACUGCAUUUGAUACUGGGUAACUUGAGUACUGGAGGGGAGACUGGAAUUUACGGUGUAGCAGUGAAAUGCGUAGAUAUCUGGAGGAACACCGGUGACGAAGGCGGAUCACUGGACUGCCACUGACGCUGAGGCGCGAAAGCUAGGGGAGCAAACAGG